UUUAUUGGCAGAUUAUUGCACUAGAAUUAGAAUCUAAUUAUACU
rnacentral:tRNA from 1 species